GGGGGGGGGGGGGGGGGGGCGGGGGGCGUGCAGGGCGGGCGGGAGGGCCGCGUUGGGGGGGUGCGCGGGGGGGGGGCGGGGGAGUAACACGUGGGUAGCCUGCCCUGGACUUUGGGGUGACUUCAGUAAACUGGGGCUAAUACCGGAUAGGAGCUCCUGCUGCCUGGUGGGGGUUGGAAAGUUUCGGCGGCUGGGGAUGGACUCGCGGCUUCUCAGCUUGUUGGUGGGGUCGUGGCUUACCAAGGCGUUGACGGGUAGCCGGCCUGAGAGGGUGACCGGCAACAUGGGGACUGGGAUACGGCCAAGACUCCGACGGGAGGCAGCAGUGGGGAAGAGUGCACAAGGGGUGGAAGCCUGAUGCAGCAACGCCGUGGGCGGGAUGACGGCCUUCGGGUUGUAAACCGCUUUCGCUCAUGACGAAGCUGUGUGUGACGGUAGUGGGUAAAGAAGCACCGGCUAACUACGUG
rnacentral:rRNA from 1 species